rnacentral:rRNA from 1 species
CGGCUGCUAAUACCCCAUAUGCCGCGAGGUGAAAUGAAUUUCGCCUGAGGAUGAGCUCGCGUCUGAUUAGCUAGUUGGUGUAGGUAAUGGCUCACCAAGGCAUCGAUCAGUAGCUGGUCUGAGAGGAUGAUCAGCCACACUGGGACUGAGACACGGCCCAGACUCCUACGGGAGGCAGCAGUGGGGAAUUUUCCGCAAUGGGCGAAAGCCUGACGGAGCAACGCCGCGUGAGGGAUGAAGGCCUCUGGGCUGUAAACCUCUUUUAUCAAGGAAG